CAUCCACUUCUCAGAUCUCUGAAUCCCCAAUCUACUUGACCAUCACCACUGCCGUUUCCUCUUCUCCGGUCUCGCAUUCCCAAUGCCUCCCCACAUCGCGACAGUCUUCUAUUCUCUUCUCCAGGUCUCGCAUCCCCAAUGCCUCCCCACAUCCCUUCGUCCCUUCAUUUCACCUCAACAAUUGCAGCCACUGCCGUUGAGAUUACGGAGACAAUAUGGCCUACGCAUAACAAUUGCAGCCACAUCCCUUGGUCCCUUCUUUUCACCAUUUCUGAGUGGUGGUUUGUUAUUUCUCAUAGCAACGAUGGAGAUUCAUGGAAGCAGCCACUCUCAUAACAAAUGGGUACAGUAAACUGGAGGAGCAAAGAGGAUGAGUAAGCAAACACCGGCAGCCUCUGUAACUUUGAAGGGAGAAUCGAACAUGCACUUUUCUGCUUUGGAUGAGAAGCUUGGAAAGGGUGUUGUCGAGGCAUUGUCAGCAAUAAUACGCAAAGUUGUUGUGAAUGGAAUAACAACGGUUCUGCCAAAGUUUGUGGAAACGGUUGGUUCCUCAUAAAAAAUUGAGAGUCACGGUGUCAAGCUUUUGGAUACUGCUCCAACUGUUACACCACCGUCAGACAGUUUGAAAUGCUUCCUUGACGCCAACCCCACAAUGUAUUUGGGUGAAGAGCCAGUAACGAAAAAAAGGACACCGACGUGCAAAGGAAAAAAGCGUGAAUUACCGGUCUCCGAAGUUAAGAAAGAAUUACAUUUUGGAGAGAAGCUUCCUCCAGGCCGUUCAUGGCUUUAUUACAAUAAUUACAAUCCAAAUAUGGAUGGAGAUGACAUGCCACAUUGUUUGGACUUUUUAUUUCGACCAACUAAAGAGAUAAAAUUUUUUGAAUAUGAGCUGGCCAUUACUGCUUACAU